rnacentral:lncRNA from 1 species
UGCCAUCUUAAUGUCCUUUAGUGGCCCAUAUUUUCAUCUAUUCAUGAUCAGGAAGUUGGAACACAUUUAGAUCAUGUUCGGAGUCCUAAAAUAGUGGAACAAUGAGAUCUUGGUGCGUCGUAUUGCCAAUCAUGUUGGUCAACAUUUGUGCUGGCUACUAGAGCUAAAACUGUUGAGGCUCAACGCGAUCAUGGCGUGAUGUGUCGAGUAUCACAUCGUAGCCAUUAACGCAC